rnacentral:rRNA from 1 species
AGAGUUUGAUCCUGGCUCAGAACGAACGCUGGCGGCGUGGAUAAGACAUGCAAGUCGGACGAGAUUUUCCGUUGUAGCAAUACGAUGGAAAGUCUAGUGGCGAACGGGUGCUUAGCACGUGGGCAAUCUGUCUUAAAGUGGGGGAUAGCUCGGCGAAAGCCGAAUUAAUACCGCAUGUGAUUAGAGUGGACAUCCAUUCAAAAUUAAAGGUGGCGCAAGCUACCGCUUUUUGAGGAGCCCGCGGCCUAUCAGCUAGUUGGUGAGGUAACGGCUCACCAAGGCUUUGACGGGUAGCUGGUCUGAGAGGACGACCAGCCACACUGGGACUGAGACACGGCCCAGACACCUACGGGUGGCAGCAGUCGAGAAUUUUUCUCAAUGGGGGAAACCCUGAAGGAGCGACGCCGCGUGGAGGAUGAAGGUCUUCGGAUUGUAAACUCCUGUCAUUGGGGAACAAGGUGCAUACGUUAACUGCGUGCGUAUUGAUAGUACCCGAAGAGGAAGAGACGGCUAACUCUGUGCCAGCAGCCGCGGUAAUACAGAGGUCUCAAGCGUUGUUCGGAUUCAUUGGGCGUAAAGGGUGCGUAGGCGGCGCGGUAAGUCGGGUGUGAAAUCUUGGAGCUUAACUCCGAAACUGCAUUCGAUACUGCCGUGCUUGAGGACUGGAGAGGAGACUGGAAUUUACGGUGUAGCGGUGAAAUGCGUAGAUAUCGUAAGGAAGACCAGUGGCGAAGGCGGGUCUCUGGACAGUUCCUGACGCUGAGGCACGAAGGCCAGGGGAGCAAACGGGAUUAGAUACCCCUGUAGUCC